AAGAAGGGUAUGCGAGAGAGCUGGCAGGUUUGAAUUUGCCGGCCGCCGAAGGGACAAGUCUUUAUUUUACCAAAAUACAAGAUGAAAUUCUCAGGCAGAAGGAUCAUAUCUGGACA
rnacentral:ncRNA from 2 species